AGACUGGACUAAGUGGUUGUGGAGAGCGGAGCCACGCCUCAAAGAUGGCACUUGCUGACCAUUGCUUCGUGGCACAAAGGUGGUAAACAGAUUUUGGGAAGUUACUGAGG